rnacentral:lncRNA from 1 species
UUAAUUAGAUCCCUCCUUGGAACUAAGAUGGUUGCUAGGCAAGUAGCAGCUAGCUAGCGGAUCCAAUUAUGUUUCUUGCCUGCUUCACAAGAGGUAGGUAUAUAUAGACAAGGUGCAUAAACCUGCUGCAGCAAACCUCUAUGGAAAUCAAACACGAACUCUAUAGACAAAUUGGUUUCCACAUGGAGUCACUGGUGAGAUCGAUGAUUGAGCAAAAAGGGUCGAUAGAUUAUUCACUAUUUGGCUUAUUUGCGCUAUUGCUAGCUUUCGGGUAAAAAUAGUCAACCUUCUUGUUGCUUGCGAGCGAGGUGAUGAUUUGCUGGAAUCUUGAUUAAUUUGCCUGUUGUUGUUUAUUUCUAUAGCUAAACUUGUGCCUUCUGAUCAUGUUGGAAAGGUAUACGUCUCACGAGGAUUGGUCAAUGAUCAUUAAU